AGGACUCGAUUAUUUACAGACCGCCGCCAUAUAGCUGGAAUAUUGCUGAGUGUGGCGUAAAACUAAACUCACUCACUCACUCUCGUGUCUAAAUAAACGGUAAUGUUCAUGGUUCUGUGUGUUUCUCUGCCGACUGCAGGUUACACAGAACGACCAAAUGCAGUCUUCAUGGUGUGUGGCCAGAGAAGGUCGGAGCUAAGGAGUCCGACUGCAGGAUACUAAGUGAUGUUUCAUUGUGUAACCUGUGUCAUUUGUUAGCAUGUAUUAGGUUUGUCCACAUGUAGUGUAACUUCAAACACCCAACAGUGUUUGUAAAUUGUGAUCAAAUCAAAAUUAUUCUAUUGGUCUCGAAUAUUCACGUCAUUAUUAUAUCGUUUCUUUAACAUGUAUUUACAUGUUUUGUGUGUAUUAUAUUGUCCCAGGGUAUGUUUAUAGAACAGAAACCAAGGAUUUCACAUAUAUAAUGAUAAAAAGACUGAACUCCAUGGAUUUGACACUUUUGUUGUUUGCUAUAUGCAAAUGCAUAUGUAUGUGUUUCAUUUAUUCAUUGUCAUGUUGUGAUAUGUUGUGAAACUCGAGAAAUCCCCCUCUACUGCUUCAACAUUGGAGACUGGUAUAUUGAAGAGUUCUACAAGUUUGUUUAGAGACUAGUAUUAGAAACUAGUUCAAGUCACACAUUAAAUCUGCAGGUAUUCUGUAUGAAUAUACACCGACUCUUGGUAAUUACAUCAAUGGGUAUAUAGCGUCUACACAGCCACAUAUUAAAACACAUAUACUGACACUCAGACAAAUAGCAAGUGCACAUAUAUACUGUCGCCCAACACUGUAUGUGACGCACGACCUAGUUGAUUUGAGCGACAUGUACCCUGCAGUGAAUAUCCAGGUGUUUUCAAUGUCAUGUCUACACAGACACAUUGUACAAUCAACAAAGCUACACUGUCGCCCAACACUAUAUGUGACUCACGACCUAGUUGAUUUGAGCGACAUGUACCCUGUAGUGAAUAUCCAGGUGUUUUCAAUGCCAUGUCUACACAGGCACAAUCAUAAAAUCGAUAAAACUACACUGUCGCCCAACUCCACAGCCUGCUAAAUGUAUGUGUGACACUCGACCUACUUCUCUGAAUACCCGUCUGAAUGACACACAUCAAGCUAUACACAAACCACCAACAUGUCCAUGCUGUCUCUCCGUCUUAUCUUCACAGUUGGGACGCUACUGGUGGACAUUCCUCACAAUCAACGUGUUUCUGCCCAGAACUAUCAGCUGACGUCAUCAUGUGGAGGUUCUGUACAGGCAGGAGGAAGCUGUACCCUGAUGUGUUACACAGGAGAAGCUUCACAUACAACUAUACUGUGGCAGAAUGGAAGUUUAUUAUACAGAGUAAACCAGGGUAGCUGCAGCUCCACCUCCCUCCCGCUUCCAGCUGACUACACCACCUCCUGCCCCAGCUCCACCCAACUACACCCUCACCAUCAACAACGUCGUGUACGGCAGGGAUAGACUCAGCUGGAGGUGUGACUUUCAGUUUGGAGGCAGACCGAGUAACCAAAUACAGAUAGAUGUUCUUGUUCCUCUGAACAGUGUUAGCCUUACUAGAACUACUACGUCUAUUACCUGCGUCGCAGUCUCCAAUCCACCGCCGUCCAUGACGCUGUACAGAGACCAACCAGAGUGUCCACCAGCCCAGCAGCAGUAGAGGGAUACACUGGCUGGACAGACACCAUCAACUACCAGCUGACAGGCAACAGGAGGUACUCCCUGUACUACUGCCAGGCAUCAAACACAGAGACGAGAGUGAAUUCAUCAUAUUCCUUUCCUGACAGUAAGUAAUGUGGAUGUCUGUUUAGAUAACAGUUUGAUUUCCAACAGUAGGAACUCUCUGUACUACUGCCAGGCUUCCAACACUCAGUCUACAGUCAACUCUACUUAUUCCUUCCCUGACAGUAAGCACAUGUAUUGAUAUAUCCUGAACUGCCAUGCAUGCUGUUGAGAUACUUUUUGUAUCCCUACGAUAUUGACAUGUCGGGUAUGACCGGUAUUUACGAUAUUC
rnacentral:lncRNA from 1 species